UACGACAUUCGUGGGUGUUGGUAACAAUGCUGUACGACUUGAAUCCGGAUCUGAGGGCCAACUUAUGAAGCAAUGUUGCCAGAUCCACAGAUUUUCAUGAGGUUCUACAGAUUUCAGACCUCGUUUCAGAUUUUCAGAUUUUUUUUUUCUAAAUGGACAAAAUCUACAGAUAUUUUCCUCACUUAAGGCACUUACUUAAGAAUAUGGUAUGCAUGAGUUCGGGACAGAUGCCCUGUAUUUUUCUUUUCCCUUGCGGGAGUUGCCGAUAAAAAAGGCCAGCCCUCCCCUGGAAGGAGGCACCUGCAACAUCAAGUUUUAGUUCAGAGGCUACAUAAAGAUCAAGAUCAUCCUGAUCCCCGAGGCCCGAGGGCGCGCGCGUCAUGUAAACAAAGUACAAACAUACUCCCACAGUCCCACAGCCUGCCCUACACGACCCCAGCAAACACACAAGAACAAGCUAUAGAGCUACAUCGUCGCUAUACCCUUACAACUACAAGCUAUAGCAAGUAAGUAAGCUCUGCAUGUUCAGAGGCGUAACAAUAGGGUGGCAGAGGUAGCAAACUGCCAUGGGGCCAGGGCCUAUAUAAUAAUGAUUAGGUAAAGGGGGCCCGAGCCUAUGGACGUAGAGUCUCGAAAAGGGGCCAAGGGACCCAAGGGGUAUGUGCCCAUGGCACAUACCCCUUGGUAUAAUACCAAGGGGUAUGUGGUAUGGGAUAAUGACAUAAUGCUAGCAUUAUGUCAUUAUCCCAUAUAUGCUUGAUAUAUACUGCUUGAUAUAUACUGCUUGAUAUGUCAUGUGAUCUCAUUAGCUUUAUUAUGUCCUGUGUAUGAGUGCAGUUUUUCUUUUUCACACAGUGCUUCUCUCAAUUUAUUUUCUAUCUGCUAGCAUUAUGUCAUUAUCCCAUAUAUACUUGAUAUAUACUGCUUGAUAUAUACUGCUUGAUAUGUUAUGUGAUCUCAUUAGCUUUAUUAUGUCCUGUGUAUGAGUGCAGUUUUUCUUUUUCACACAGUGCUUCUCUCAAUUUAGUUUCUGCUAGCAUUAUGUCAUUAUCCAAUAUAUGCUUGAUGUAUACUGCUUGAUAUGUCAUGUGAUCUCACUAGCUUUAUUAUGUCCUGUGUAUGAGUGCAGUUUUCUUUUUCAUACAGUGCUUCUCUUGCUACAAAUGGUUUAUGCUGGGUGUGUAAUAUGUGUAAAAUUGCAUGUAGUUGUAUUAAGACGUCGUCAAACGGGAUAUGCAACCACUAUUUUUUCACAAAUAUCGCAAGUUUUUGAGAUUUAGUUUCCAUUUCUAAAAUCUCCCGUGUGACGUCGCCUUUAUGGGCUACACUUCCUAAAUGCUUGUUUUGAGUUAAAAUUAACUAAAUACCCUUUGUUCUGUUUAUGUGGAGUUACCAUAGGGCUAAUAAAAUUUCAUUAUUAUCAACAUAUUUUUCCUCAGAAAUUUUCCUUAUGGGUUACAGAUUUCUACAGAUAUUUUGUCAGAUUUGGUCAGAUUAUGCAUAAUUCAGUCUGGCAACACUGUUAUGAAGAACGACAACAUAAACAGCUGUCCUGUACCACCGCUAUGGAGAUGUGUGACAGAAACUCUCCACUCUCUCGUGAGCAGAGAAUUAUGCUUCUCAGGCUUGUGGGGUAGCGGAGGGCCUUACAAGACCCCUCCAGUAAUCCCUCUCUUAUACAUAAGAAGCAAAUGGCCGGGGAGGAAAUAAGAAAAUAUACGGCAAUGAAUCCAGAUAGCCCACCAAGGACAGCAGAACAACUCAGGAGAUGCUGUAACAGCAUAAAAAUUAGUGCAAAGGAGGAGGAGUCUACAAAAAAAAGUUGAGCCAGACUGGUGGUGGCUCCCAUCCUCCACCACCAUAUUUUUCUGAAGAACAUGACCUGCUCUGCAACACACUGCCUGGGGAAAUGAAGACAGGGGAAAAUAUGUUUGACACCUUCAUUGUCAAGAGAAGUGAGUAUGAUCAGGGAUGUCUCUUCAGUGAAUUUAUAAUAUGUUUAACUCAUGAAUAGAGAUGCUGAGAAAGAUUAGCGGUGUGUGUGUGUGUGUGUGUGUGUGUGUCUUUUUCUUUCUGUAUAGACAUAUCGUUAAAAAACAUACUAGAUUUAGCAUUGAAUUGCAGAAGCUGACGAAAUUGAAGUGCCUUCUGUUGACAGUGUGCUUUUACCGAGUGUUAAAAUUGUUCUUCCAACAUAUAUUUUUUUUCUUUUUAGAUGCAAUGCAUCCUGGAAUAAUUUUCAGCUUAUUUUAACUUAAUCUACACAGAUGGCAUUACUGCUAUUUUUCUUUGCCAAUAAGUAUAUACCCAGUAUAAGCUUCAAAAAGUCUUAAUUCUUUAAAUUAUAACAAGCCAUUUUGUGAGGAGUGAUAUAUCAUUGAUAUUUAAUUGACUAUCAUAAAUUUGGUAACAUAGGAAAUGAGUGCCAAACUGAGACUUCAUGAGGUUUACAUACAGGCUUCCUAAUACACCAUUAUAUUGUUUGUGUGUACAGUAAAAUCCCUCUUAUCUGGCAUCAACGGGACCGCCGACAUACCGGAUACUUGAAUAUUGCCGGAUACUUGAAUAUAAGUGAAGUUAUGUCCACAAUCACCACCCUACUGUAACGCUCCUUUUUAUUAUUUCUGUGUUUCUUUGAGUCUCCCCAAUAAUUGUUUUCUUUUGUAGCUUGCGGUGAAGAGGAGGAUAAUAGCGGUAAUUAAAGGUUUAGUGAUUAUAUGAAAAAGUAUAUUUAUAAGGCGUGUAUUCGUGGGAGUGAUUUAGAAGUUUUGAAACAUUUGUUAUAAAUAGUCUUUACUUAUUUCAACUGUGGUUUUCUCUAAUCAGUGGUAAUACGAAUAAUAGGAUUACAUCAUGUUGCGUCAGCCUACCAGUAACUCAUAAGGUGUCAUUCCCUAGCUUAUAAAAUAUGUUAGUAAUUUAGAAUUCAAUUAUUAACUUCAACUAAUGUCCAGCCUAUAUGCUCACCUUGUUAGCCAAUUAUUCCUGCAUUUUUAUUUAAACUCACGGUUCAGUAAAAUUAUUUGUGAAAGAAGAGAGAGAGAGAACUAGCUAAGGUUCCAAUAACUUCAGAGGCCUGGGGGUGGGUGUUGAGGGGGAGAGCACAGAAUGGCAUCUCCCUUCCCUCUGGCAACAGAUAAAAUAGCCGGUGUUGGUCCCACGUGGAGACAGGCCACAGAGUCUUGGGAAAGUGUUAGCCAUGUAAUGUUUCUUUAGUCAAAUAUAGUCUACUGUGAAUGUGUUGUGAGCAAUAUUAUUGCCGUAGAGAAGUGAUGGAUGAAGGCUGUGACGCUAUUUAGGGAUAUAACGGUGCCCAGAAUCAAUGGUACUCUUGAGGAGUUAUAAAAGUAAUUAUUUUCUGUGUAUUCGUAGUGUUAAGUAACGGAGUAUAAGUGUAUAUGCCAUACCAGAAUUUCAAGUGCCUUUUUUUUUCUUUUUCUAGAUUAACCACUCGAUAAAGUGUCAUAGUGGGUCAGUCAACCCAAAGAAUCCCAUCAGUAUUAUUCAUUUAAUUAUUUUUGCUAUUUUUAUAUUUUUCGUUCCUCAUAAUAAAGCCACACUGUAGG